AAAUGACAGUCGAGUUUUGAUUUGACUACAAAACUUUUUGUACAGUGAAUAGAGAAUAUAUAUUAUUUCAUGUAAAUUUUUGACAGUUUUUUGAAACUGUUGGAUAUUUUUUAAAUUUUUUUUAAAAUAACUUUGCCGAGUGUCCUAGGGUAGACACUCGGCAAAGAACCCUUCACCGAGUGUCACCCCUAGGACACUCGGCGACUUAAAGUGCCCGGCCGCCAAAAGACUUAAGUGCCCGGCCCCCUCUCUCCCUCCCGUCACUCCCA
rnacentral:lncRNA from 1 species